GAGAGCUUGAAGCAUCUGUGACUUCCUGAAGUAAUUGCUGAAGUAGAACUACAAAAGGCCAUAUAACUUGAUAAAGAAAGAUGAAGAUGAGCAAAGAGGUCAACCUUGAGUCAGAUGGUAUGUGGAGGACCGGAGUGCGUGCUGUGUCUGAGACUGGCUGAGGAUUUGAUGAACAACUUUAGAGAGUAACAGAAUAAAGAGAACCCAAAUGGACAAACAGCACUAAAAAGCUAUUGAAUCACAUAUGAUGAUUUGAUUAUCUCCACGGGUGAUUACUGCCUCCAGGCAGCCACUGACCUGCCC